UACGUAGGUGGCAAGCGUUGUCCGGAAUUAUUGGGCGUAAAGCGCGCGCAGGCGGUCCUUUAAGUCUGAUGUGAAAGCCCACGGCUCAACCGUGGAGGGUCAUUGGAAACUGGGGGACUUGAGUACAGAAGAGAAGAGUGGAAUUCCACGUGUAGCGGUGAAAUGCGUAGAGAUGUGGAGGAACACCAGUGGCGAAGGCGACUCUUCGGUCUGUAACUGACGCUGAGGUGCGAAAGCGUGGGGAGCAAACAGG
rnacentral:rRNA from 1 species